rnacentral:rRNA from 2 species
CUUAUCGCAUGGCCUUGGGGCGGCGAAAUUGCCCUCCAGUAUCUGCCUUAUCAACUAUCGUCGGGAGUGGAUUGGACUACCGAAGGGGUGACGGGUAACCGAAAAUCAGGGUUCGACUCCGGAAAAGGGGCCUUAAAAACCGGUACCAUGGCUAAAGGCAGCAGCAGGGGCCCCACUUAUCCCCUGGUCCUUGAACCAGAUUGUGGCCAAAAAUAACAAGCUCGUUUUCCUUGAAGGCCAGCAUUGGAAUGGAUGGGAAGGAAACAAUUUCCUGAAUAUUCACCAAAGGGCAAAGCUGGGGCCCGCAGCCCCGGUAAUUCCAGCUCUCGUAAUGGAUAAAAUUAUUGUUGGGGUUAAAAAGUUCGUAAUUGGAUUUUCUACUGCCACUGGGCGCCUCUAACGAUGUAGACUAGAAGCAAUACUUGGGGCACCUCCGGGUCGACCCCACGGGGCGCGGAUUACUUUUAACCGCUUAAGUGCUCCAGGGGAGGCUUCGGACUGAAUACCCGUGGAUGGAAAAAUGGAACAAGGGUUCGGCCCAAUUUUAUUGGUUUUGUCGGCUUUAACCAUGGUUAACAGGAACAGCUGGGGGCACUCGUAUCGCUGCGCGAGAGGUGAAAUUCGUGGACCGCAGCGAGACGCCCUAGAGCGAAGGCAUUUGCCAAGAGUGUUUUCAUUAAUCAAGAACGAAAGUCAGAGGUUCGAAUGGCGAUCAGAUACCGCCCUAGUUCUGACCGUAAACGAUGCCAACUAUCAAUCCGCCAGUGGCUUUGAGUCAUUGGCGGGCGGAUCGACGGAAACGAAAGUUUUUCGGUUCCGGGGGAAGUAUGGUUGCAAAGCUGAAACUUAAAGGAAUUGACGGAAGGGCACCACCAGGAGUGGAGCUUGCGGCUUAAUUUGACUCAACACGGGAAACCUCACCCGGCCAGUACAUCAUAAGGAUUGACAGAUUGAUAGCUCUUUCAUGAUUUGAUGAAUGGUGGUGCAUGGCCGUUCUUAGUUCGUGGCGUGAGUCGUCUGCUUAAUUGCGAUAACGAGCGAGACUCCGUCUGCUAAAUACCCGCUGGAUUAUUUGUCCACGCGAGUUCUUAGCUGGAUUCGAGACUCCAAGUCUUAAGAAAUGGAGCAAUAACAGGUCUGUGAUGCCCUUAGAUGUUCGGGGCCGCACGCGUGCUACAAUGAUGAUGACAGCGUGAUUGUCCUCGCCCGAGAGGGCUUGGCAAACAGUUGAGAUAUUAUUAUGGCUGGAAUUGAGUGUUGAAAUUUUCCCUCAUGAACGAGGAAUUCCAAGUAAAUGCGAGUCAUCAACUUGCAUUGAUUACGUCCCUGCCCUUUGUACACACCGCCCGUCGCUACCCGGGACUGAGUUGUUUCGAGAAAUCUACGGA